CCCUUAGAUGUCCUGGGCCGCACGCGCGCUACAAUGACUCUCUCAGAAAGUUUUUCCUGGUCUGGAAAGAUACAGGGUAAUCUUUGUAAUAGGAGUCGUGUUAGGGAUCGAUCUUUGCAAUUAUAGAUCUUGAACGAGGAAUGCCUAGUAAGUGCAGUUCAUCAGACUGUACUGAUUACGUCCCUGCCCUUUGUACACACCGCCCGUCGCUCCUACCGAUUGGGUGUGCUGGUGAAAUGUUCGGAUCGGCCGUUUGUCGCGGUUUCCGCGUCAUGUGGCUGAGAAGUUCAUUAAACCCUCCCACCUAGAGGAAGGAGAAGUCGUAACA
rnacentral:rRNA from 1 species